rnacentral:rRNA from 1 species
CCUACGGGUGGCAGCAGUCGAGAAUCAUUCACAAUGGGGGAAACCCUGAUGGUGCGACGCCGCGUGGGGGAAUGAAGGUCUUCGGAUUGUAAACCCCUGUCAUGUGGGAGCAAAUUAAAAAGAUAGUACCACACGAGGAAGAGACGGCUAACUCUGUGCCAGCAGCCGCGGUAAUACAGAGGUCUCAAGCGUUGUUCGGAAUCACUGGGCGUAAAGCGUGCGUAGGCUGUUUCGUAAGUCGUGUGUGAAAGGCGCGGGCUCAACCCGCGGACGGCACAAGAUACUGCGAGACUAGAGUAAUGGAGGGGGAACCGGAAUUCUCGGUGUAGCAGUGAAAUGCGUAGAUAUCGAGAGGAACACUCGUGGCGAAGGCGGGUUCCUGGACAUUAACUGACGCUGAGGCACGAAGGCCAGGGGAGCGAAAGGGAUUAGAUACCCUAGUAGUC